CAGCAGCCACGGGAAUACGAAGGGGGCUAGCGUUGUUCGGAAUUACUGGGCGUAAAGCGCACGUAGGCGGAUAUUUAAGUCAGGGGUGAAAUCCCGCAGCUCAGCUGCGGAACUGCCUUUGAUACUGGGUAUCUUGAGUAUGGAAGAGGUUAGUGGAAUUGCGAGUGUAGAGGUGAAAUUCGUAGAUAUUCGCAGGAACACCAGUGGCGAAGGCGGCUAACUGGUCCAUAACUGACGCUGAGGUGCGAAAGCGUGGGGAGCAAACAGGAUUAGAUACCCGCGUAGUCCCUGUCUCUUAUAC
rnacentral:rRNA from 1 species